rnacentral:rRNA from 1 species
UACGUAGGGACCGAGCGUUGUCCGGAAUCAUUGGGCGUAAAGAGCGUGUAGGCGGCUUUACAGGUCCGUUGUGAAAACUCGAGCUCAACCUCGAGACGCCGGUGGAAACCAUCAGACUAGAGUCCGGAAGAGGAGAGUGGAAUUCCUGGUGUAGCGGUGAAAUGCGCAGAUAUCAGGAAGAACACCCGUGGCUAAGGCGGCUCUCUAGUACGGUACUGACGCUGAGACGCGAAAGCGUGGGGAGCGAACAGG